AAUUCCGUCGAUAGUUUCUACAGACAAUUUAUGAGGUUGAAAAUGCAGUAAUCUAAAAUCGUUUAAGGUGUAUAUUAAGUACCGAAUUUUCCAUAACUGACUAAAUUUUCCCAUUAAGAUACAAAUGUCAGGGAAUAUCAAAUAUGAGCAUAACUAUGCCAGCAGCCGUCGCGUCUGGCGAAUCUGUCAAAAUGACGUGUACGUAUAAUUUGGGAACCGAUCCUUUGUACACAGUUAAAUGGUACAAAGGCAGUAAAGAGUUCUUCAGGUAUGUACCGAAAGAAUUGCCACAUACACGAGUGUUUCCGUGGCCUGGAAUCAACGUAGACGUUAGUCAGUCCGGUCCUAAUCAAGUGGUUCUCAGAGAUGUUCAAAGGUACUUAUCAGACAAAUAUCGAUGUGAAGUGUCAGCAGACGCUCCUUCAUUUCACACGAAAAUUGUAUCAGCGUGGUUGCACGUCGUAUAUCCUCCGAUUGGACGACCAAUACUGUCACUUGAAAAGCGGCAUUACACAAUUGGUGACAAGUUGAAGGGUAAUUGUACAUCACCACCAUCCAGUCCACCAUCGAACGUUACUUGGUAUCUCAAUGAUAAAUGGAUGAACUCGAGUUUCGCUCGUUCGUUAGACGAUGAUUAUGAGAUCGGUCGGGGUCACAAAAUGCGGACCACAACAGUUGGAUUGGAAUUGGAAGUAAAUAGUUUCAGGGUAGGCAAAAUGCGUAUUCGUUGCGUGGCCGACUUAUAUGGUGUUUUCCGUACAUCGACAGAAACAAUACUGGACGAAGAGAAACCUCGACUCGCAUCAAUUUUGAGUACAUUUUCGUCUUCGCCUAACGUUUUUAGAAUUGAAACCAAAAACACAACAACAAAAAAACCAUGAAUUUACCACUUAAGCUAUUGCAGUCGCUUGUGUGUCCAAAUCGCCGUUUCUGUCACUUUUAGUUGUUUUAGUAGCUUGCAUUUGGUUGAGGUAACCGUCAGUGUAUUAAUGACAUUUUGGUAUAUUGAAAUAAUAACAGAAAUCGUGAUUGUUGUUUUACUUAAUUGAAAUUUGUAAAAAUACUGUAAAAAGUUUGUUAAAGUUAAUUAAUAUAUUUAUUUUAUUUUAUUUUAAAUGUAUAAAAACAUAAUUCAUAUAGUUAAUUUGUUAAACAAGAUUGAUGAUGAAAUGUAAA